rnacentral:lncRNA from 1 species
CUUUGGAUGCGGAAAAACUUUUCGAGAAGGAGCGGUUUGUUUCAAUCGUGGAGGAUUGGUUUAAAGACUAUGUGGCAGCGUGAUUAGGCGCGAGAACUUUUUGUUGAGCGCUAAAAUUUCGUGGGCUCGCCAUCCACAUUGUCCGUUUCCUGGAUAAUCUUCCAUUAAUUUGGCCGUCCAUGAGUGCUAAGUUUUCUUGUUUAGGAAAAUAUUUAACAAAACUUCUGCACCGGAUUUCUUUUUUGAAAAUACGUGAAAAAACUUAAGACUUUUGUGUGAUAAACUGAUAAUUAUGCAUAUGACAGGUAACUUCAAA